AGUGAACGCUGGCGGUAGGCCUAACACAUGCAAGUCGAACGGCAGCACAGUAAGAGCUUGCUCUUACGGGUGGCGAGUGGCGGACGGGUGAGGAAUACAUCGGAAUCUACUUUUUCGUGGGGGAUAACGUAGGGAAACUUACGCUAAUACCGCAUGCGACCUACGGGUGAAAGCAGGGGAUCUUCGGACCUUGCGCGAUUGAAUGAGCCGAUGUCGGAUUAGCUAGUUGGCGGGGUAAAGGCCCACCAAGGCGACGAUCCGUAGCUGGUCUGAGAGGAUGAUUAGCCACACUUGGACUGGGACGCGGUUCAGACUCCCUCGGGAAGGAGCCAGGGGGAAAAUUUGGCCAUGGGGGCAAGCCUGAUCCAGCCAUACCGCGUGGGUGAAGAAGGCCUUCGGGUUGUAAAGCCCUUUUGUUGGGAAAGAAAAGCAGCAGGUUAAUACCCCGCUGUUCUGACGGUACCCAAAGAAUAAGCACCGGCUAACUUCGUG
rnacentral:rRNA from 1 species